UUAGGAAUCUUCCACAAUGGGCGAAAGCCUGAUGGAGCGACGCCGCGUGAAGGACGAAGGCCCUAGGGUCGUAAACUUCUAAAAGAGGGACGAUAAUGACGGUACCUCUUGAAAAGCACCGGCUAACUCCGUGCCAGCAGCCGCGGUAAUACGGAGGGUGCUAGCGUUAUCCGGAAUCACUGGGCGUAAAGGGCGCGUAGGCGGUCUGUUAAGUCCGAUGUUAAAGACUGGGGCUCAACCCCGGCAUUGCGUUGGAUACUGGCAGG
rnacentral:rRNA from 1 species